AUGGCCACGAGCGCGGCGACGCCGGCGCGCGCGCUCCCGGCCGCCGAGUCCUCCUCUGCCACGGGCGCCAACGCGGGCGACAGCGAGCCGAGCGGGGAGAGCGAAGGGGCCAUGAUGGGCGACAGCUCGGGCGCCAUGGCCGGCGCCGGCUCCGGUGCCAUCGUGGGCGACGGAGUCGGGGCGAUGAUCGGAGCCGGUGUCGGUGCCGGUGAAAGGGGCGCCGGUGCCGGCGUUGCCACGGGAGCCAUGAGCAGGGGUGACGGAGCCAUUGCGGGAGGCGCGGUGGCCGGUGGUGUUGCCAUGGGUGCGGCCACUGGGGCCGGAAGCGGCGCGGCGACGGUGGGUGGCAUCGCCGGAGGGGCCGCGGUCACUGCGAGAGGGGGUGCAGAGACGGGUGGCGAUGAGGUGGCAGUGAAUGGCGGAGAGGCAACAGUGGACGCCGCAGGCGACGUGGCUGUGAGUGGUGCAGCGGCGAAGCUCUUUGUCGGAGCUGACGCGGCAGCAAACUGCGGCGAGGCAGCCGUUGUCGGCGGAGCUACCGCCGCAGCCUGCGGCGCCGAGGCAGCGACGGUCGUCGGAGGUGCUGCAGACACCUGUGACGGCGAGGCGGCCGAGGUCGUCGGCGGUGCCGCAGACACCUGUGACGGCGAGGCGGCCGAGAACGUCGGCGGCGCUGCAGACACCUGCGACGGCGAGGAGGCCUGCGGCGGUGAUUUCACCGUUGUCGGCGCCGCGGCGAACGUCUGCGGCGGGAAGGCGCCGACCGGGGCAGCCUUGGACGCGGACGGCGACUGCGCGGCGCAGGAGACGAGGAGCAGCGAGAGGAGGAGAGGAACGAGCGCCAUUGCUGGUUGCUGUUUAGCUCCCUCUCGUGCCUUCUCUUCUCUUCUUCCCAACUAG
rnacentral:rRNA from 1 species